GACGAACGCUGGCGGCGUGCCUAAUACAUGCAAGUAGAACGCACAGUUUAUACCGUAGCUUGCUACACCAUAGACUGUGAGUUGCGAACGGGUGAGUAACGCGUAGGUAACCUGCCUGGUAGCGGGGGAUAACUAUUGGAAACGAUAGCUAAUACCGCAUAAUAUUAAUUAUUGCAUGAUAAUUAAUUGAAAGGUGCAAUUGCACCACUACCAGAUGGACCUGCGUUGUAUUAGCUAGUAGGUGAGGUAACGGCUCACCUAGGCGACGAUACAUAGCCGACCUGAGAGGGUGGUCGGCCACCCUGGGACUGAGACACGGCCCAGACUCCUAAGGGAGGCAGCAGUAGGGAAUCUUCGGCAAUGGACGAAAGUCUGACCGAGCAACGCCGCGUGAGUGAAGAAGGUUUUCGGAUCGUAAAGCUCUGUUGUAAGAGAAGAACGGGUGUGAGAGUGGAAAGUUCACACUGUGACGGUAUCUUACCAGAAAGGGACGGCUAACUACGUG
rnacentral:rRNA from 1 species